UUCAGCCUCUGUCGCCUUGUGACCUGCAGGUCGUGGGAGUCUGUGGGGAGGACGCCUGGACACCCGGAAGCCGGGAGAUGGGACUGUUGAUAUUCAAGAAUGUGGCCAUAGAACUCUUUCCAGAGGAGUGGGAAUGCCUGACCCCCUCUCAGCAGAUAUUUUACAGGAAAGUGAUGUUAGAGAACCAGAGGAACAUUUUUUGUUUGGGUGGGGACAUUCCACACACAAUCCCUAUUUCACACUAAGGAUUUCAUGUUCUUCCUUUGUAGACUGUUUUCUGGGAAUUGCUGCUUUCGUGAAUGAGUUUCAGAUUCCUGCUAUCAAACACAAUUUGGUGAUUUGUUAACAUGGAAAAGGAAAAAUUAAAGAUGCUUCAUUUUGACAACCAUUCUCCUUUUGGAGUGAUCUGUGUCCUUCUAUCUAUAUUAAUAGUAGUAAGCCCAGAAAUUUAGUGGCAUAGGAUACCAUUGCCCACACCUACAAUCAAGAGGUGGCUAUAAGGUUUUGACUUUCUAAGUCAGACCUGAUCACUAGACUGGAGGAAAGGAAAGAACCGUGGAAUGUGAAGAGAUACAACACAUUAGCCAAACACCCAGAUAACAGACUUAUUUCUGAGACUCCGUUGCAAUUAUAAGUGGAAGAGGAGGAAACACUUUCCAAUAGUUUUUGGAACCUGGUAUUCUCUUCAAACACAAUCAAAGAAAGGUAGUACAACAGAUGAAAACUGCAAAAGCAGUGUGCCUCUUUCGUGUUGAUUUGGAAAUCACUAAAACAACAUUAUUAAACAGAACCACAUCUCUUCAUCCAUGGGUGAAUUUCUACUAGAAAUCAUAAAGACAGGGGAAUCCAAGGAAGUUAAAUCAGUUGUAGCCAAGCUUGGUGCAUCAGCCUGUUAUUCCAGCACUUUGGGAGCAUGAGG